AACUUUUUCGCUUACAAAUAUGUACCGUUGUACCAGUGGAACUUCAAGAGCACUUCUGGAUUGGAACCCAGGCUGUGGGACCCAUUCAUUGGAAUCAAGUGAUACUAUUACACACUGGCUAAAUGCUGUAUCAAUUACAGAGUGAUUUUGAAUUCUUUAAUCUGAGUUUCCUUGAUUGUAAAGAAGGUAACUGAGACCAACAUCAAUGAGGCUUGAAAGAGAUCAUGUAAAUAGGACCCAAGACACCAGGGGCAUCCAGACUAGGAAAAGUUGAUGGUGUUGUGGAAAGAGAAGACAGUGAAAACCAAAACCAAUAUGAGUAAACUGGUAUUAUGUCAAAGUGGCAAGUAACUGCAAGUCCGGCCCACACACCCAAAAAAGUGAGAGGACACUCCAGGGUCUAAUUCCUACAGAUGCCAGAGUGAACCAGAGAGUGUUCCAUUUACUCUUGGAAGCAACAAGGAAAUGGGCUCUCAGAGACUAAAAAUAUUGGAAAUGAUGUUUGGCUACAAUGUAAAGAGACAACUUAAAGCUUUCUUGAAGUGAAGAACCACAAAAACAGAAAAACAAAUGGCAAUGCAUGGCAAAGAGAGCUGAGGAUCAAGAACUGUGUUCACAGGCAAGGCUGUGGAUAUGGAGAAUGCAUUAGUUUGUGUGUGCACAUAUAUGUAUGAUAUGCAAUAGUCAGGGUGGUGUGGCCAGUAUACUCUUGUGUUCUAAAAAAUGUUCAUAAUUAAACCGCAGCCUAAUUUAGUGUUCUAGAUUACGAUAAUUUAACUUUUUAGCACUGGGCAUAUAACAGGCCAUCAUGCAUGCUAGGCAAGCUCUGUACCUCUGGGAACACCCCCAGCCCCAAUUUGUCUUUAUGCACCUAAGAAGGUAACGCAACACAAUCAUGAGGUUAUUAGGUUCCUUCCCAUGCAAGAUUGUUUUGAAUGAAGUGAAUGCUGUGUAAAGUAUUAUCAGCCUAGUCCACAGGUAAAACUCAACUGCUGACAUGUAACUGCUUUUCACAGGUGGCCUCUGCAGUUUCCAUUUAGCGCACAAGUCUUCCACCUGGGAAAGUCCAGCUUGUCAGAGAUAUUUCCGGCUUGGUCUUAAAGUCACUAUAUGCUUUAGAGUGAUGUUUUCUAAAGCUGAACAUUAUUUGUAAAACUAUUUUUUCAUCUCUACUGAAACAAAAGUUAGGAACCACAAAUGUAAUCUUGAAAUCUUAGGAGGAAAUUACUGCCUGCAAAACACAUGUGAACAC